AAUAGUCUAAUAUAUAUUGACACGUACACGUCACGUCCUUUCUGGAACAUUCUUCCAAACGGCGUGGUCAUUGAACUUGGUGCAGCAUCAAUUCUAUCCAUAUCACUUUAAAAUAUGCCGAAAACCAAAUCAAAAAGGGGGCACCUAGAUCCACGACGUCGGACCAUUCUCAGCAUGCUCAGGCAGUACAGACAGGGCGUAAUCGCAGGACACGGAGGAGCAAUGAUGCUGACCCCAGUGUAGCACAUGGCGGAGUCCAGCCACAGAUACCCGUGGUCCAACCCAAUGAGCACUUUCAACCCCCACAGCGGGUGCAGCCUUGGGUAGAAUUAACGCCGAGUACAGCCUAUCUGAAUCAUGGAACAAAACUUGGACGUGGACGAGAUAUGGCGAGCAUUGAAGCCUUGGGGCCGUUACCAAGUUAAACAGAUGUUGUUCAUGUGGGCUGCUCAGAUCCCCUGCGCCUUCCAUCUCCUUGCGGUUGUCUUUAUAGGAUUUCAACCUAAAUCUGAAUGUGCCGAUGUAUCACUACCCGACAAUGACAUCCGGAACGCAUCGGUAUCUAGUGUGACGUAUGGUGCAUGCUCAGUGACGAUAUUUUCUAACCAAUCAAAUUCUUCGAGCACCAUCACAUCCUGCCCCAAUGGUUACAGAUAUGAUGAACACGAUAAAAUAUCUUUCGCAACUGAGUGGGGACUUCUCUGUGGCGAGUCGACAAAGGUUGAUCUUUCACAGUCUCUCAUGCUCUUGGGGCAAGGACUGGGCGGAUUUUUAUGCACUGUAAUCUCUGAUAAAUUAGGAAGAAAACCAGUCCAUAUCGUCUCCCAUAUCUCCAUCUUCAUUCUGUGCCUUACCACAUCCUUCAUCCCAUCGUACGUGGGAUUUGCCAUCCUAAGAUUCUUCACAGGAGUCGCUAUUGAGGGGUUAAUGUUGUCCAGUAUUACCAUGUAUGUGGAGACACUUCCGGAGGAGUGGCGAUUCUGCUCAGAAGUGAUGGGUUUAGUUUGGUGGACCACGGGUAUCGUACUUCUGACGCCCUUAGCCUUACUUAUGCAGAACUACUCUUGGAGAUACUUACAGCUUCUUUUGUCUCUGCUAUCUGUGUAUAGCCUUGCAGAAUACUGGCUAUUUGAUGAAUCCCUGAGAUGGCUUAUGGCCAAUGGUCGUUUGGAAGAGGCAGAGAAAGUGCUUCGAAAGGCCGCUGAAAUGAACAAAAAGACAUUUGAUAAUAUCAUAGGUGAUGUCAAAAAGAAAAUGGCAGAAUUGGAAACGCUAGAUGGUGGUCUCGAGAAAACGGAGAUCCUUUUUACAGAGCCAGAUGUGGUCAUUGUUGCUUACAAUCCGAGGAAUACGGACGUGAUAAAAUACUCAAUGUUAACCAUUUUGAAAGAUCGAAUGAUUCUCCUUAACUCCGUCAUAAUUUGGUUUAUCUGGGUGACGAACAGUCUCACGUAUUACGGACUCAGUCUAAUGUCCACUACUUUGUAUGGGAACCGCUUCCUCAACUUUUUCUUUCUCGGAGCUAUGGAAUACUUGUCCGCUCUUGCCGAAUUUUCUCUGUUAAAUAGAAUUGGUCGAAGAAAAACUCUUUUCUUUCUUCUUGGGACUGCGGGAGUGUCCCUCCUAGUAGCCACUAUAAUGUUCAUGUUCAAAGGUGAGAGCUCUGUAUUAGGUCAUCUGUACAUGUUCUUCGUGUUGGUUGGAAAAUUUGGAAUUUCAGGGUCGUUCAGUUCCUCGUUUUUGUACACAUCCGAACUGUAUCCCACCAAUAUGAGAUAUUUUCCACAAUCCCAUCUGCUGAUGACGUAUACCGGGCAAUUGCCUCCGAGUGAAAGCAGCUGGUCAUGUCUGACUGCAAAGGAUAUCAAUAUGAGCCCGAGUUUAAUGAAGAGGAAUUAUUGGCAGCUUCAAAUGAAAACACUAGUGAUUUGGAAUGGAUUGAUGAAAAUGACAGGAGAAAUGAUAAAAAUUGGUGCUCUUGUGGACAUUGUGGUAUUCUUUCAAGUCGCAGAGAAUGUACAUGUUGUAAGGAGUUUGAACAUUAUGCUGAAAAUUACAUAUCUUCUGUAUGUCCAUGCAUUUCACAACACAGUGACUUUGACAUGGUGUGUCAAAAUAAAACAGUGUUGGAAACAGCAUACGUUGCAUUUAUGCGGUAUAUACGACAAAAAGGACGGGCUCCACAGGUGUUGACUAAUAAGCAGUCAAGGCUUAUGGCAUACAGGCAAUUCAUUUGUUGGGUAAGGAGGGGACAGCCUUUAGGGAGAAAGAAUCGAGUGGUGUUACCUGCAUGUGUAGUCACAAAGAUUAGAGAAACUUUCCCAGGAAUGCUGGAUAUGGGCUCUCCUCUAUUUUUACCAGAAUUGGUGGAGUAAUAGCUCCGUUCAUGAAUACCUUUUACAAUUACGUGUCGUGGGGACCCGGUGUGGUAUUCAGCGCCAUGUGUUUCAUAUCCG